CCUCGGGGCGCUGCAGUGAGGAAUAUUGCACAAUGGGGGGAACCCUGAUGCAGCAACGCCGCGUGGAGGAUGACGCAUUUCGGUGUGUAAACUCCUUUUAUAUGUCAAGAAAAUGACGGUAGCAUAUGAAUAAGCACCGGCUAACUCCGUGCCAGCAGGCGCGGUAAUACGGAGGGUGCAAGCGUUACUCGGAAUCACUGGGCGUAAAGGACGCGUAGGCGGGUUGGAAAGUCAGGUGUGAAAUCCUACAGCUUAACUGUAGAACUGCACUUGAAACUUCUAAUCUAGAGUAUGGGAGGGGGAGAUGGAAUUAGUGGUGUAGGGGUAAAAUCCGUAGAUAUCACUAGGAAUACCUAAAGCGAAGGCGAUCUCCUGGAACAUUACUGACGCUAAGGCGUGGAAGCGUGGGGAGCAAACAGGAUUAGAUACCCUUGUAGUC
rnacentral:rRNA from 1 species